rnacentral:lncRNA from 1 species
AUUGCAGAGCCGCACAGCUGGGGACCAGAUCCUCACGGUGAGAGGAGCUGCUUUGUGCUCACCCUCAGCCCAAGGAAGACUCCUGGGGUCAAGGCCACAAUCUGUUUUCUCUUCCCCAAGGGUGAAGCCACACCUCCGUUCCAGCCUGACCCAGAAACGGAGCGGAAGGGAGAUUCCUGAGACCCUGCAGCUGCCACCAUGAGCUCAGAUGACCCGAGGGACCACUCAGAGAGUGAAAGCUUUUUGGAGGAGGUCACUGAGUAUUUUCGGAACACAGUGAGUAGGGAAGAACUGCAGCUCCUGCUCACUGAAGGCAAAGCCUGGGAGAAAUUUGUGACUGAGGCUGAUUUGUCCAGGUAAUGGGCACUGCUGUACCAAGAAUGUCACCCAGAUCCCCCCACCCCAGAUUAGUUUUCUCCUGGCAGGCACACCUCCUCCAGGCAGUAUCCUAUGGUUGGGUUCAAGGAUGUUCCUUCUCAAGAUUCCAUAAGUAAUAUUUCCUCCAUCUCAUUUGCUGGCAGUGAACAGUCUCAGUUGAGCAGAGAUGAAACCUGCAAGGAAGCAGCAGGUUGUGUGACCUUGGAUAAGUUACGUAACUACUCCCUGCCUUAGUUUCUUCAUCUCUUCAGUCUUAUUGUGGGGAACUGAGAUUGUGCAGGCAAAGUGCUUAGUGUAAUUGCUGGCACAUGGUAGGUGCUCAAUUCAUGUUAGCUUUUAAAAAGUUUGUUGUGAAGAGACCGGGGACAAGGAUCUUGAUCUUGGAGGCAAGCAGGACUUCCUUUGGAACAAGUCAGAAAAUCCUGAUGUCAUCAGUUUGUGUUGCUGGGAUUCUGGCUAGAGCCCUUUUUUUCCCAGUCUUAGCAACUGUACAAACGCUGUCGGAUCCUGCUGGCCCAACAGGCAGAGAGGCUGGAGUGGAAUAGGAUCAGGCUGGGCUGGAUCCUGGCUUGACCCCGGCCCAGCUCUGGAACCUUGGUUAUGUCUCGAAUGUCAAAUUUGUCAUCUAUCCAAUGGGGAUGGCAAUUCAAUCUGAUGGAUGGUGGCAAUGGCCUUCGAGUGAACUGCAGGGUCAGAGGUGGGGAGCCACGUGCAAUCAUCUCAUCCAAAGGCCCAGGACACCUGGACCAGGGUCAGACCUGGGGGUCAGGAUGGAGCAGAGGGGUCUGAGGUGGAGGAGGAGUAGGAAGGUUUGGGCAACAGGGCCAGGGCUGGAGUGAGGCGAGUGGACCCCCGGACACCGAACUGCAGGGGCUGCUCACCUGGCAGAGAUCCCCUGAGUGGGAGAGGGGACAUUUCUUCCCUCCCUGACCUGGUCCCCUCCUGCCGGGCAUCCAGGGCCUUGGGUGACCGUGUCCUCCACACCCUGCCUGGGAGCUGGGGGUUCUCCCUGCCACCUGGGCCCCUCUUCUGUUCUACGCAGGGUAGCCCUGACCGGUGGGAAGGCAGUGUGGCCUGGGGACAACUCCAACAUUACAACGAGUGGCUGCCAGUUCUGUAUAAUUUGAGAGCUUCUGAGCAGACUCACGAGUUCCCACCAACGAGGAAACUCUUCCUCAGGCCGAGCAGUUCUUAGGGAUGAUUCCCAAAGUCUCUUGACUCUUUCAGAGGUUCCAUAAACUCGCCACGGCCUUGGUGUGCAGGCAGGUGAAGCUGUCACCAGCUAAGGUAUGGGUUAGGCUGGUGACCCCUGAGACGUCGGGGUGCUGGGUCAGGAGUCAGUGAGGUGGGCCCGAGGGGCGCCAGGGUAAUAGCACAUCUCCUGCUUCCCAGUCAGCGGGGACAGUGGAUGGACCCGUGACCUUCAGCGGGGAAGGCCAAGGGCACGCGGCUUGGAAGACAGCAGCUGCUGGGCAAACCGAUCAUUAAGGCCUCUGCCAGCUCUGAGUUUUUAUUGUUUUAGAAGAAUUCCGAGUAAGCAGCAGUCACCAGUCUGCCACCCGAGACACAGUCCUCGGGACUCUCCUUACCUUUGACACCAAUGGCAAAUGUGGGGGCUUCCCCAAACCCUCUCAGGUGCGAGAGCUCCCUAGAGGGAGGCGCAGAACUCACUGAAGCUGUGGUGACCCCCGUUAGGGUGUCUGCCAGGGCAGGAUGUGGGUGACCAUCAGCCACAGGGCAGAGGCUGGGAGGGUUUUGAACGGGCAGCUCCCGUUGUCCUCAGGACGCACAGCUGUCCUGUGUUCCAGGGGGACAGGGCCCACGGAGCCCUGCCCGGCAGGGAUGCUCCCCUUGUUUAAAAAACAAAUGCUUCCGACCCUUGUUAAAAUGAUAAGGAAGACGUUACUGAGGCCCAUCGUGAGAGGUGCAAAGACCAUCGCCGUGGGGGAGAGACUGGGCUCAAAGUCAAAUGCGUCAGAGACAACGGGGACUCAUCACCAAGGAGCAGGGGCUGCCGGGGUGGAUGGAAGGUUCCUGGGGGGAGACGUCAAGGGUAGGGACCCCUGUUAAACUUUCCCAGGAGGGCUCUUGCUAAAAGGAGGUCGAGGACCUAUGCCUCAAAGGUGAUCCGAUGUCAAGAGUGCCCGUGGGACGUUCUCCCUAGAGUGACCUGCAAGAGUUCUGGCUGAACGCGGGCGAUGGGGGCCAUCGAGGACACGGAUGUGAGGUCAAGGGUCGGUGAGAAGGGGGCUCAGAAGAGCCUGCCUCAAGUUUGGUCAAGGGGAGAGUCUUUUCCACCGGAGCCUCGGUGUCCGGAGUUUUGCUGGGGCUCCAUCACAUGCUGCCCGCACGGCUGACCUGCUGCCUCCAGCCCCUCCCGGGGCUCAGGCUACUGUCCCAGGGUCCAGCUCCUCCAGCAAUUAUUCCCCGUGACCCAGAGGCCCCAUCGCGCAUCGCCUUGUGGGGCUGCCCAGUGGCCAAGGGCCCAGGUGGACAAGAACACUCCUCUCAGCCAGAACAUUCCAGGGGCUCAGGGGUCACUACCAGUAGCCAAGGGCAGCGAGCAGGUUAACGCCUCACCGCCACCAAGUUCCUCUGACUGAGGGAUUUCUGCUCCAGUCCCACUGUUCUUUGUUCAUCUGUGGUCCCUCCUACACUCUUUUUGUUUUUGUUUUGUUUUCCUUUUUUUUUUUCCAAUGUAUUAUUGGCAUUUAUUGUUUCAACUUUUUUUUUUUUUUUUUUUUUGUCUUCUUGCAUUUUCUAGGGCCACUCCCGCGGCAUGUGGAGGUUCCCAGGCUAGGUGUCAAAUCGGAGUUGUUGUCGCUGGCCUACGCCACAGCCACAGCAGAUCCGAGCCAAGUCUGUAACCUACACCACAGCUCCUGGCAAGGCCAGAUCCUUUACCCACUGAGCAAGGCCAGGGAUGGAACCUGCAACCUCAUAGUUCCCAGUUGGAUUCGUUUCUGCUUUGCCAUGAUGGGAACUUCUUAUUGUUUCAGCUUAUUAUGAAGAUUCUCAUGCUUCUGAAUUAGUUAGUAUGACAAAUAUUUGGAAAUACAUUUUUUAUAUUGUGCUCUGAUCAUUUCCAAUUUUUGAAAUAUUUUUAAAAUUAAAAAAUUUUUCCUACUCACUCUUCGAAAUUGAUGGUGUUGACCUGCCUCUGAGGCAUCUUUAUCAAAUACCUAUCUUAAGCGUAUAAUCAGAUGGAGCUCCUGUUAUGGCUCAGCAGGUCAAGAACCUGACAUGUUGUUGACGAUGCGGAUUUGAUCCCUGGCCUCGCUCAGUGGGUUGAGGAUCCUGCUUUGCUGUGAGCUGAGGUGUCGGUCGCAGAUGUGACUUGGAUCCAGUAUUGCUGUGGCUGUGGUGUAGGCCUGGACCCCUAGCCUGGGAACUUCCAUAUGCCGCAGGUGUUACC